rnacentral:rRNA from 1 species
CCUACGGGUGGCUGCAGUGGGGAAUCUUGCGCAAUGGGCGAAAGCCUGACGCAGCGACGCCGCGUGAGUGAUGAAGGCCUUCGGGUUGUAAAGCUCUGUGGGGAGAGAAGAAUUAGUGCAGCCCAAUACGCUGCAUGAUGACGGUAUCUCCUUAGCAAGCACCGGCUAACUCUGUGCCAGCAGCCGCGGUAAGACAGAGGGUGCAAACGUUGUUCGGAAUUACUGGGCGUAAAGCGAGUGUAGGCGGUCUGAAAAGUCAGGUGUGAAAGCCCUGG